rnacentral:rRNA from 1 species
AUGAACGCUAGCUACAGGCUUAACACAUGCCAGUCGAGGGGAAACGGCAUUGAGUGCUUGCACUCUUUGGACGUCGACCGGCGCACGGGUGAGUAACGCGUAUCCAACCUUCCCAUUACUGUGGGAUAACCUGCCGAAAGGCAGACUAAUACCGCAUAGUCUUCGAUGACGGCAUCAGAUUUGAAGUAAAGAUUUAUCGGUAAUGGAUGGGGAUGCGUCUGAUUAGCUUGUUGGCGGGGUAACGGCCCACCAAGGCUACGAUCAGUAGGGGUUCUGAGAGGAAGGUCCCCCACAUUGGAACUGAGACACGGUCCAAACUCCUACGGGAGGCAGCAGUGAGGAAUAUUGGUCAAUGGACGGAAGUCUGAACCAGCCAAGUAGCGUGCAGGAAGACGGCCCUAUGGGUUGUAAACUGCUUUUGUAUGGGGAUAAAGUUAGGGACGUGUCCCUAUUUGCAGGUACCAUACGAAUAAGGACCGGCUAAUUCCGUG